GGUUCAGGACGAACGCUGGCGGCGUGCCUAAUACAUGCAAGUCGAACGGCUUUUCUAUGGAAGCUUGCUUCCACUGAGAAGAUAGUGGCGGACGGGUGAGUAACACGUGGGUAACCUGCCCAUAAGAGGGGGAGUAACAUCCGGAAACGGGUGCUAAUACCGCAUAGUUUUCUUGAUCGCAUGAUUGAGAAAGGAAAGACGGCCUUUGUGCUGUCGCUUAUGGAUGGACCCGCGGCGUAUUAGUUAGUUGGUGAGGUAACGGCUCACCAAGACGAUGAUACGUAGCCGACCUGAGAGGGUGAUCGGCCACAUUGGGACUGAGACACGGCCCAAACUCCUACGGGAGGCAGCAGUAGGGAAUCUUCCGCAAUGGACGAAAGUCUGACGGAGCAACGCCGCGUGAGUGAAGAAAAGGUUUUCGGAUCGUAAAACUCUGUUGUCAGAGAAGAACAAGUCGGAGAGUAACUGCUCCGGCCUUGACGGUAUCUGACCAGAAAGCCACGGCUAACUACGUGCCAGCCGCAGC
rnacentral:rRNA from 1 species